rnacentral:rRNA from 1 species
CUACGGGCUGCACCAGUGGGGAAUAUUGCACAAUGGGCGAAAGCCUGAUGCAGCAACGCCGCGUGAGGGACGACGGCCUUCGGGUUGUAAACCUCUUUUAGCAGGGAAGAAGCGAAAGUGACGGUACCUGCAGAAAAAGCACUGGCUAACUACGUGCCAGCAGCCGCGGUAAUACGUAGGGUGCAAGCGUUGUCCGGAAUUAUUGGGCGUAAAGAGCUCGUAGGCGGUUUGUCGCGUCUGCUGUGAAAAUCCGAGGCUCAACCUCGGACCUGCAGUGGGUACGGGCAAACUAGAGUGCGGUAGGGGAGAUUGGAAUUCCUGGUGUAGCGGUGGAAUGCGCAGAUAUCAGGAGGAACACCAAUGGCGAAGGCAGAUCUCUGGGCCGUAACUGACGCUGAGGAGCGAAAGCGUGGGGAGCGAACAGGAUUAGAUACCCUAGUAGUC